rnacentral:rRNA from 1 species
GGCGAACGGGUGAGUAACACGUGAGCAACCUGCCCCUGACUCUGGGAUAGCCUCGGGAAACCGGGAUUAAUACCGGAUAUGACAUCGCCUCGCAUGGGGUGGUGUGGAAAGUUUUUCGGUUGGGGAUGGGCUCGCGGCCUAUCAGCUUGUUGGUGGGGUGAUGGCCUACCAAGGCGACGACGGGUAGCCGGCCUGAGAGGGUGACCGGCCACACUGGGACUGAGACACGGCCCAGACUCCUACGGGAGGCAGCAGUGGGGAAUAUUGCGCAAUGGGCGAAAGCCUGACGCAGCGACGCCGCGUGAGGGAUGAAGGCCUUCGGGUUGUAAACCUCUUUCAGCAGGGAAGAAGCGCAAGUGACGGUACCUGCAGAAGAAGCACCGGCUAACUACGUGCCAGCAGCCGCGGUAAUACGUAGGGUGCAAGCGUUGUCCGGAAUUAUUGGGCGUAAAGAGCUCGUAGGCGGUUUGUCGCGUCUGCUGUGAAAACGCGGGGCUCAACUCCGCGCCUGCAGUGGGUACGGGCAGACUAGAGUGCAGUAGGGGAGACUGGAAUUCCUGGUGUAGCGGUGGAAUGCGCAGAUAUCAGGAGGAACACCGGUGGCGAAGGCGGGUCUCUGGGCUGUAACUGACGCUGAGGAGCGAAAGCGU